rnacentral:rRNA from 1 species
AGUGAACGCUGGCGGUAGGCCUAACACAUGCAAGUCGAACGGCAGCACAGUAAGAGCUUGCUCUUACGGGUGGCGAGUGGCGGACGGGUGAGGAAUACAUCGGAAUCUACUUUUUCGGGGGGGAUAACGUAGGGAAACUUACGCUAAUACCGCAUACGACCUACGGGUGAAAGCAGGGGAACUUCGGAACUUGCGCGAUUGAAUGAGCCGAUGUCGGAUUAGCUAGUUGGCGGGGUAAAGGCCCACCAAGGCGACGAUCCGUAGCUGGUCUGAGAGGAUGAUCAGCCACACUGGAACUGAGACACGGUCCAGACUCCUACGGGAGGCAGCAGUGGGGAAUAUUGGACAAUGGGCGCAAGCCUGAUCCAGCCAUACCGCGUGGGUGAAGAAGGCCUUCGGGUUGUAAAGCCCUUUUGUUGGGAAAGAAAAGCAGCAGGUUAAUACCCCGCUGUUCUGACGGUACCCAAAGAAUAAGCACCGGCUAACUUCGUG